rnacentral:rRNA from 1 species
GAUGAACGCUGACGGCGUGCCUAAUACGUGCAAGUCGAGCGAACGGACGAGAAGUUUGCUUCUCUGAUGUUAGCGGCGGACGGGUGAGUAACACGUGGAUAACCUACCUAUAAGACUGGGAUAACUUCGGGAAACCGGAGCUAAUACCGGAUAAUAUUUUGAACCGCAUGGUUCAAAAGUGAAAGACGGUCUUGCUGUCACUUAUAGAUGGAUCCGCGCUGCAUUAGCUAGUUGGUAAGGUAACGGCUUACCAAGGCAACGAUGCAUAGCCGACCUGAGAGGGUGAUCGGCCACACUGGAACUGAGACACGGUCCAGACUCCUACGGGAGGCAGCAGUAGGGAAUCUUCCGCAAUGGGCGAAAGCCUGACGGAGCAACGCCGCGUGAGUGAUGAAGGUCUUCGGAUCGUAAAACUCUGUUAUUAGGGAAGAACAUAUGUGUAAGUAACUGUGCACAUCUUGACGGUACCUAAUCAGAAAGCCACGGCUAACUACGUG